rnacentral:lncRNA from 1 species
UUCAAUCAUAGUCACUUGAUCUUCAUCCCUAUAUCCUGCACUGUGGAAGGUUUCUUGAAGUGUAUAAAGCUUCUUCUGGCUUGUUUUCUGAAUUAUUUCAUUAGCUGGUUUGUAACCCAGCCCGAGUCGAUCCUUUUUCUCUGGUAUCUCCAACAACUUGCCCCAGCCCUGGGUAUAUCUACCCUUGAUCAAUUUGGACAUCUUCUCCCAUGGGGAUAUUGAUUUUUCCUUUCUUCGAGUGACUGCUGCAAUUUCCAAGGAUUGAAAGGGUAUUU